rnacentral:rRNA from 1 species
GCACAGAGUUAGCCGUGGCUUCCUUUAACGGUACCGUCACUCUCGCGCAGUGUUAACUCGCGAGUCUUUCGUCCCAUUCGACAGGGGUUUACAAUCCGAAGACCUUCAUCCCCCACGCGGCGUUGCGUCAUCAGGCUUGCGCCCAUUGUGAACAAUUCCCCACUGCUGCCUCCCGUAGGAGUCUGGGCCGUGACUCAGUCCCAGUGUGGCCGUCCGCCCUCUCAGGCCGGCUACCGAUCGUCGCCUUGGUGGGCCGUUACCCCGCCAACUAGCUAAUCGGACGCGGGCUCCUCUUCAAGCGCCAGGCCUUGCGGUCCCCGGCUUUGGUUUCCAGGUCUUUAAACCCAGAACGUCAUGCGGUAUUAGCGUCCCUUUCGGGACGUUAUCCCCCACUCGAAGGUAGAUCACCCACGUGUUACUCACCCGUUCGCCACUCUACUCAGGGCCGAAGCCCCUUUCGCGUUCGACUUGCAUGUGUUAGGCACGCCGCCAGCGUUGAUU